rnacentral:lncRNA from 1 species
CUUGGGAAUUCACUAUAACCCCCUUGGAUUACAGCCGGUUGUUUUGCAAGCUCACAACCAAACUUGUUGUUUUACGAGCUUACAACGAACUCGGUCAGUUUUCCCAGGCUCACCGACUAGAACCAACCCCGAUUGUUUUUCCGGGCUCACAAUCAAACCCUUACACACGUUGGUUUUUAACUUGGCUCACCAACCAACCUUAAUCCCCUUGAUUCAAUCCCCCGAUUGAACCAAGUAAAUACAAGUUAUAGAAAGAAAGAAAAAUA